UACGUAGGGGGCUAGCGUUGUCCGGAUUUAUUGGGCGUAAAGAGCGUGUAGGCGGCCAGGUAGGUCCGUUGUGAAAACUCGAGGCUCAACCUCGAGACGUCGGCGGAAACCCUCUGGCUAGAGUCCGGAAGAGGAGAGUGGAAUUCCUGGUGUAGCGGUGAAAUGCGCAGAUAUCAGGAAGAACACCCGUGGCGAAGGCGGCUCUAUGGGACGGUACUGACGCUGAGACGCGAAAGCGUGGGGAGCAAACAGG
rnacentral:rRNA from 1 species